rnacentral:rRNA from 1 species
CAGCAGCCACGGUAAUACGUAGGGUGCGAGCGUUAAUCGGAAUUACUGGGCGUAAAGCGUGCGCAGGCGGUUAUAUGAGACAGAUGUGAAAUCCCCGGGCUCAACCUGGGACCUGCAUUUGUGACUGUAUAGCUAGAGUACGGUAAAGGGGGAUGGAAUUCCGCGUGUAGCAGUGAAAUGCGUAGAUAUGCGGAGGAACACCGAUGGCGAAGGCAAUCCCCUGGACCUGUACUGACGCUCAUGCACGAAAGCGUGGGGAGCAAACAGGAUUAGAUACCCCCGUAGUCCCUGUCUCUUAUAU